rnacentral:rRNA from 1 species
UACGUAGGGUGCAAGCGUUGUCCGGAAUUAUUGGGCGUAAAGAGCUCGUAGGCGGCUUGUCGCGUCGGCUGUGAAAACCUGGGGCUCAACCCCGGGCCUGCAGCCGAUACGGGCAAGCUAGAGUUCGGUAGGGGAGACUGGAAUUCCUGGUGUAGCGGUGAAAUGCGCAGAUAUCAGGAGGAACACCAAUAGCGAAGGCAGCUCGCUGGGACGUUACUGACACUGAGAUGCGAAAGCGUGGGGAGCAAACAGG